rnacentral:rRNA from 1 species
GGAUGAACGCUGGCGGCGUGCUUGAUACAUGCAAGUCGAACGGAGAGUGUAGCAAUAUACUUUUAGUGGCGAACGGGUGAGUAACGCGUUGGUGACCUGCCCCGAAGCGAGGGAUAACAGUUCGAAAGAACUGCUAAUACCUCAUGUGAUCACCGGUUUUAGAAUCUGGUGAUUAAAGGUGAAAAUCACUUCGGGAGGGGCCUGCGUCCCAUCAGCUAGUUGGUAAGGUAAUGGCUUACCAAGGCGAUGACGGGUAGGGGACCUGAGAGGGUGGCCCCCCACAAUGGAACUGAAACACGGUCCAUACACCUACGGGUGGCAGCAGUAGGGAAUAUUGCAAAUGGGCGAAAGCCUGAUGUAGCAACGCCGCGUGUGCGAUGAAGGUCUUCGGAUUGUAAAGCACUUUUUGGAGGGAUGAGGAAGGACAGUACCUCCAGAAUAAGCCUCGGCUAACUACGUGCCAGCAGCCGCGGUAACACGUAGGAGGCAAGCGUUAUUCGGAUUUACUGGGCGUAAAGCGCGUGCAGGCGGUUUGGAAAGUUGGAUGUGAAAGCUCCUGGCUCAACUGGGAGAGGUCGUUCAAAACUUCCAGACUUGAGAGUGGUAGAGGGAGGUGGAAUUCCGGGUGNNGUGGUGAAAUGCGUAGAUANNNNGAGGAACACCAGUGGCGAAAGCGGCCUCCUGGACCACUUCUGACGCUCAGACNNGAAAGCUAGGGUAGCAAACGGGAUUAGAGACCCCGGUAGNNCUAGCUGUAAACGAUGUGAACUUGGCGUUGGUGGGUUUAAAUCCAUCAGUGCCGAAGCUAACGCGAUAAGUUCACCGCCUGGGGACUACGGCCGCAAGGUUAAAACUCAAAGGAAUUGACGGGGGCCCGCACAAGCGGAGGAACAUGUGGUUUAAUUCGAUGAUACGCGAGGAACCUUACCCGGGCUCGAACGGUGCAUGAAUAAGCAAGAGAUUGUUUAGUCCUUCGGGACAUGUAUCGAGGUGCUGCAUGGUUGUCGUCAGCUCGUGCCGUGAGGUGUCGGCUUAAGUGCCAUAACGAGCGCAACCCUUGUUGUUAGUUACCAACAGGUAAAGCUGGGGACUCUAACGAGACUGCCACCGUAAGGUGUGAGGAAGGGGGGGAUGACGUCAAAUCAGCACGGCCCUUAUGUCCGGGGCGACACACGUGUUACAAUGGGGGGUACAGAGGGCAGCCAUCCGGUGACGGAGCGCCAAUCUCCAAAACCCUUCUCAGUUCGGAUUGGAGUCUGCAACCCGACUCCAUGAAGUUGGAUUCGCUAGUAAUCGCGCAUCAGCCAUGGCGCGGUGAAUACGUUCCCGGGCCU